UACGGAGGGUGCAAGCGUUAAUCGGAAUUACUGGGCGUAAAGCGUGCGCAGGCGGUUUGUUAAGUCUGUUGUGAAAUCCCCGAGCUCAACUUGGGAAUUGCAAUGGAUACUGGCAGGCUAGAGUGUGGCAGAGGGGGGUGGAAUUCCACGUGUAGCAGUGAAAUGCGUAGAGAUGUGGAGGAACACCGAUGGCGAAGGCAGCCCCCUGGGUUAACACUGACGCUCAGGCACGAAAGCGUGGGGAGCAAACAGG
rnacentral:rRNA from 1 species